rnacentral:rRNA from 1 species
ACUCCUACGGGAGGCAGCAGUGGGAAUCUUGGACAAUGGGGGCACCCGUAGCAUCCAGCCAUGCCGCGUGAGUGAUGAAGGCCUUAGGGUCGUAAAGCUCUUUCGCCUGUGAUGAUAAUGACAGUAGCAGGUAAAGAAACCCGCGUACAUCCGUGCCAGCAGCCGCGGUAAUACGGAGGGGGUUAGCGUUGUUCGGAAUUACUGGGCGUAAAGCGCAUGCAGGUGGUUUGUUAAGUCAGAUGUGAAAGCCCGGGCUCAACCUCGGAAUAGCAUUUGAAACUGGCAAGCUAGAGUACUGUAGAGGGGNGAGAAUUUCAGGUGUAGCGGUGAAAUGCGUAGAGAUCUGAAGGAAUACCGGUGGCGAAGGCGGCCCC